UAAAUAAGAAAAGUGCACAUUAUGGAUGCCUUGGCACUUAACUCCGAAGAAGGACGUGGGAAACUGCGAUAAGCCUCGGUGAGCUGUUCUCAAGCUUUGACCCGGGGAUUUCCGAAUGAGGUAACUCAGCCCGUAGUAAUACGGGUUACUCUCUGCUGAAUAUAUAGGCAGGGUAGAGGAUACACAGAGAACUGAAAUAUCUCAGUACCUGUGGAAAAGAAAUCAAUUGAGAUUCCCCUAGUAGCGACGAGCGAAACGGGAUCAGGCCAAACCCAGUACUUGUACUGGGGGUUGUAGGACUCCAACAUCGUUCUAUUCUUGUUACCAGAAGUCUCUGGAAAGGGACACCACAGUGGGUAAUAGUCCCGUACGGGAAAACGAGAAUAGUCGUAGGAGUAUCCUGAGUAGGGUCGGACACGUGUAAUCCGGCCUGAAUCUGGGAGGACCACCUUCCAAGCCUAAAGAGGUUAAGUGACCGAUAGUGAACAAGUACCGCGAGGGAAAGGUGAAAAGUACCCCAGGUAGGGGGAUGAAAUAGAUCCUGAAAUGAUGUGCAUACAAGAAGUCGGAGCAUGCCUUCGGGCGUGUCACGGCGUACUUUUUGUAGAACGGACCAACGAGUUAGCUGUAUGGAGCAAGGCUAAGGGAGUAAUACCCGGAGCCGCAGUGAAAGCGAGGGUGAAUAGCCCGAUUUAGUUCCAUGCACUAGACCCGAAACCGAGUGAGCUUACCAUGUCCAGGCUGAAGCACGGGUAAAACCGUGUGGAGGGCCGAACCAGGGACUGCUGCAAAAGUCUUGGAUGAGGUGUGGUAAGUGCUGAAAUUGCUAUCGAACUCGGAGAUAGCUGGUUCUCCUCGAAAUAUCUUUAGGGAUAGCGUCGAGCGUUAACCCGUGGGGGUAGAGCUCUGUAAAGGCUAGGGUCCGAAAUAAGGAUACCAAACCUUAACAAACUUCCAAUACCACGGCGUACUGCUCGGCAGUCAGACGGUGGCAGCUAAGUGCCAUCGUCGAAAGGGGAACAGCCCAGAUCGUUGUCUAAGGUCCCUAAUAGAAUCUCAGUGGUAAAGGAUGUAGAAUUGCGUUAACAACCAGGAGGUUGGCUUAGAAGCAGCCAUUCCUUCAAAGAGUGCGUAAUAGCUCACUGGUCGAGUGAUUCUGCGCCGAAAAUGUAACGGGGCUCAAGAUUCUAACCGAAGACACGGGCUUUCAUUGGAUUCGUCCAGUGGGAGCAGUAGAGGAGCGUUGCGUAGGCCUAUGAAGCUAGACUGUAAGGUCUGGUGGAGGUAUCGCAAGUGCGAAUGUUGGUAUAAGUAACAAUAGCAAAGUGAAAAUCUUUGCCACCGAAUGCCCCAGGUUUCCUCAGCCACGACAAUCGUCUGAGGGUUAGUCGGGCCUAAGGCGAGGCCGAAAGGCGUAGCCGAUGGAAAACAGGUUAAUAUUCCUGUACAAUACUUUUUUCGUCCAAGCAAGACAGGAGGAAGCUCUUUUAUAUCAAAUUUGACUUCGGUUAAGUUUAUCGUAAUUGGGUGACUGAAUGUGGCGCUAACGAAGGGAUGACGCGGUUGGAUAAUGAUAGCUGGUACAUGAUUCCAGUAGAAGCUGUUAGCUUAUGCCCUUCUAGGUAAAUCCGUUAGGGCUCGCGAGCAGCGACAUCAAGAUUGUGUCUUCGGACAUGGUCAAGUAUCUCCACUUCAGCUGACUAGAAAACUCUCGUCGUGAGAAAAAUGUGUUUCCGUACCGUAAACCGACUCAGGUGGGCGGGUAGAGUAUACUCAGGUGAUCGGAUUAACCGCUGUUAAGGAACUCGGCAACAGAAACGUCCGUAACUUCGGGAUAAGGACUGCCUCAUCUUUGAUGAGGUCGCAGCGAAAGAACCCAAGCAACUGUUUAUCAAAAACACAGGUCUGUGCAAAGUCGCAAGACGACGUAUACAGGCUGAUGCCUGCCCAGUGCCAGAAGGUCACGAGGAGAGGUGCAAGCCUUGAUUCUAAGCCCUGGUGAACGGCGGCCGUAACUAUGACGGUCCUAAGGUAGCGAAAUUCCUUGUCGGGUAAGUUCCGACCCGCAUGAAUGGCAUAAUGAUUUGGGUACUGUCUCAACAGCGGUUCCGGUGAAAUUACAUGAACGGUAAAAAUGCCGUUUAAACGCAGUAGGGCGAAAAGACCCCGUGCAGCUUUACUAUAGCUUGACGUUGGCAUGAGGUAUUACUUGCGCAGGAUAGGUGGGAGACUUUGAAGCCUCGACUUAGGUUGAGGUGGAGUCAACCUUGAGAUACCACCCUUGUGAUACUUUGUGUCUAACCUGGACCGUCAAUUGUUCUUCAAUUGAACGUCCAUGAUGAGUUAUAUGGUAAAUAUACACAUGUUUAUGGUCAUAUUUCCCCAAAGGGUAUAGAGGUUCAUUUUGCCUCUCUAAAGAUAGAAAAUGACGAUAACGUAACUAUAUUUGUCCAUAUAUUAUUCAUUUGAAUUAUGUUCUUGAAGGCUAAUUGCCGGUUCAGGGACAACGUUUGGUGGGUAGUUUGACUGGGGCGGUCGCCUCCUAAAGAGUAACGGAGGCGCGCAAUGGUUGGCUUAGUCCGGAUGGAAAUCGGACUGAAAGUGUAUUCGCAUAAGCCAGCCUGACUGUGAGACCUACAAGUCGAACAGGCACGAAAGUGGGCGAAAGUGAUCCGGUAGUUCCACGUGGGUGGGCUAUCGCUCAACGGAUAAAAGUUACGCCGGGGAUAACAGGCUGAUAGUUUCCAAGAGCUCAUAUCGACGAAACUGUUUGGCACCUCGAUGUCGGCUCGUCGCAUCCUGGGGGUGAAGCAGCUCCCAAGGGUAUGGCUGUUCGCCAUUUAAAGCGGUACGCGAGCUGGGUUCAGAACGUCGUGAGACAGUUCGGUCUAUACCCUCUGUGUUCGCAGGAAAAUUGAAAGGAUUUGCCCUUAGUACGAGAGGACCGGGGUGAACGAACCUCUGGUGCACCAGUUGUCGUGUCAACGGCAUAGCUGGGUAGCUACGUUCGGUUCGGAUAACCGCUGAAAGCAUCUAAGCGGGAAACCAUCCUUAAGAUGAAUUUUCCCUAUGAGCCUCCCGGGAGACUACCGGGUUGAUAGGCUGACGGUGUACACACAGCAAUGUGUUGAGCCGAGCAGUACUAAUAGGCCACUGUAUUUAUUUU
rnacentral:rRNA from 1 species